UUCCGCGAAACCUAUGUGAGUAGGUAAUUUAAUUAACAUCUUAGCAGGUACAGAACUAGGAUCUCGGACAAUAUGUAAAUUUUGUACACAUCGGGGGAUCGUGAAGAUUUUAUCGGAGAGUAUUUGCACUCGAAAGGGCAAAGAUGAGUAUUGAAUAAUCGGACAUAGUACGAUAAGGUUGUAUGUCUAAAGGGAAACAGCCCUGAACAAGAGUUAUAAGGUUCCAAAAUUAUUAUUGAGUGAAAUUAAGGAUGUACUUAUUAAAUACAACCAGGAAAUAGGCUUAGAAGCGGCCAUUUUUUGAAGACCUCGUAACAGAGCACUGGUUAAUAAAAUUUAAUUUAGAUAGAUAUGUAUACCGAAAAUUUAACGGAUCUAAAUAAUAUACCGAAACCUUGUUCGUAUAUAUUAAUAUAUAAUAUUAUUAGUAUAAAUAAAUAUAUAUAUAUAUGAGGUAGCGGAA
rnacentral:ncRNA from 1 species